rnacentral:misc_RNA from 1 species
CAGGGCGGCAGGCCGGCGGGA